rnacentral:rRNA from 1 species
GACGAACGCUGGCGGCGUGCUUAACACAUGCAAGUCGAACGGAAAGGCCCUGCUUUUGUUGGGUGCUCGAGUGGCGAACGGGUGAGUAACACGUGAGUAACCUGCCCUUGACUUUGGGAUAACUUCAGGAAACUGGGGCUAAUACCGGAUAGGAGCUCCUGCUGCAUGGUGGGGGUUGGAAAGUUUCGGCUGUUGGGGAUGGACUCGCGGCUUAUCAGCUUGUUGGUGGGGUAGUGGCUUACCAAGGCUUUGACGGGUAGCCGGCCUGAGAGGGUGACCGGCCACAUUGGGACUGAGAUACGGCCCAGACUCCUACGGGAGGCAGCAGUGGGGAAUAUUGCACAAUGGGCGGAAGCCUGAUGCAGAAACGCCGCGUGCGGGAUGACGGCCUUCGGGUUGUAAACCGCUUUCGCCUGUGACGAAGCGUGAGUGACGGUAAUGGGUAAAGAAGCACCGGCUAACUACGUG